UGAUCCUGGCUCAGGACGAACGCUGGCGGCGUGCUUAACACAUGCAAGUCGAACGAUGAACCACCUUCGGGUGGGGAUUAGUGGCGAACGGGUGAGUAACACGUGGGCAAUCUGCCCUGCACUCUGGGACAAGCCCUGGAAACGGGGUCUAAUACCGGAUACUGAACCGCUUGGGCAUCCAGGCGGUUCGAAAGCUCCGGCGGUGCAGGAUGAGCCCGCGGCCUAUCAGCUUGUUGGUGAGGUAACGGCUCACCAAGGCGACGACGGGUAGCCGGCCUGAGAGGGCGACCGGCCACACUGGGACUGAGACACGGCCCAGACUCCUACGGGAGGCAGCAGUGGGGAAUAUU
rnacentral:rRNA from 1 species